AGUGAACGCUGGCGGUAUGCCUAACACGUGCAAGUCGAACGGCAGCACAGUAAGAGCUUGCUCUUACGGGUGGCGAGUGGCGGACGGGUGAGGAAUACAUCGGAAUCUACUUUUUCGUGGGGGAUAACGUAGGGAAACUUACGCUAAUACCGCAUACGACCUACGGGUGAAAGCAGGGGAUCUUCGGACCUUGCGCGAUUGAAUGAGCCGAUGUCGGAUUAGCUAGUUGGCGGGGUAAAGGCCCACCAAGGCGACGAUCCGUAGCUGGUCUGAGAGGAUGAUCAGCCACACUGGAACUGAGACACGGUCCAGACUCCUACGGGAGGCAGCAGUGGGGAAUAUUGGACAAUGGGCGCAAGCCUGAUCCAGCCAUACCGCGUGGGUGAAGAAGGCCUUCGGGUUGUAAAGCCCUUUUGUUGGGAAAGAAAAGCAGCAGGUUAAUACCCCGCUGUUCUGACGGUACCCAAAGAAUAAGCACCGGCUAACUUCGUG
rnacentral:rRNA from 1 species